AUUGAACGCUGGCGGAAUGCUUUACACAUGCAAGUCGAACGGCAGCACGGAGAGCUUGCUCUCUGGUGGCGAGUGGCGAACGGGUGAGUAAUAUAUCGGAACGUAUCCAAUAAUGGGGGAUAACGAGUCGAAAGAUUCGCUAAUACCGCAUACGCCCUACGGGGAAAGGACAGGGGAUCGUAAGACCUUGCGUUAAUGGAGCGGCCGAUAUCUGAUUAGCUUGUUGGUGAGGUAAAGGCGUCACCAAGGCGACGAUCAGUAGCUGGUUUGAGAGAACGACCAGCCACACUGGAACUGAGACACGGUCCAGACUCCUACGGGAGGCAGCAGUGGGGAAGUUUUGGACGAAUGGGGGCGAACCCUGAUCCAGCCAUUCCGCGUGAGUGAAGAAGGCCUUCGGUUGUAAAGUACUCUUUUACCCGUACGAUGAUAAU
rnacentral:rRNA from 1 species